rnacentral:rRNA from 1 species
UACGAAGGGGGCUAGCGUUGCUCGGAAUCACUGGGCGUAAAGGGUGCGUAGGCGGGUUUUUAAGUCAGAGGUGAAAUCCUGGAGCUCAACUCCAGAACUGCCUUUGAUACUGAGGAUCUUGAGUUCGGGAGAGGUGAGUGGAACUGCGAGUGUAGAGGUGAAAUUCGUAGAUAUUCGCAAGAACACCAGUGGCGAAGGCGGCUCACUGGCCCGAUACUGACGCUGAGGCACGAAAGCGUGGGGAGCAAACAGG